CGAACGGCAGCACGGGGGCAACCCUGGUGGCGAGUGGCGAACGGGUGAGUAAUAUAUCGGAACGUACCCGGAAAUGGGGGAUAACGUAGCGAAAGUUACGCUAAUACCGCAUAUGCCCUGAGGGGGAAAGCGGGGGAUUCGCAAGAACCUCGCGUUUUCGGAGCGGCCGAUAUCGGAUUAGCUAGUAGGUGAGGUAAAGGCUCACCUAGGCGACGAUCCGUAGCUGGUCUGAGAGGACGACCAGCCACACUGGAACUGAGACACGGUCCAGACUCCUACGGGAGGCAGCAGUGGGGAAUUUUGGACAAUGGGCGCAAGCCUGAUCCAGCCAUGCCGCGUGAGUGAAGAAGGCCUUCGGGUUGUAAAGCUCUUUCAGCCGGAAAGAAAACGCACGGGUUAAUAACCUGUGUGGAUGACGGUACCGGAAGAAGAAGCACCGGCUAACUACGUGCCAGCAGCCGCGGUAAUACGUAGGGUGCGAGCGUUAAUCGGAAUUACUGGGCGUAAAGCGUGCGCAGGCGGUUUUGUAAGACAGAUGUGAAAUCCCCGGGCUUAACCUGGGAACUGCAUUUGUGACUGCAAGGCUAGAGUACGGCAGAGGGGGGUAGAAUUCCACGUGUAGCAGUGAAAUGCGUAGAUAUGUGGAGGAAUACCGAUGGCGAAGGCAGCCCCCUGGGUCGAUACUGACGCUCAUGCACGAAAGCGUGGGGAGCAAACAGGAUUAGAUACCCUGGUAGUCCACGCCCUAAACGAUGUCAACUAGGUGUUGGGGGAGGAGACUUCCUUAGUACCGCAGCUAACGCGUGAAGUUGACCGCCUGGGGAGUACGGUCGCAAG
rnacentral:rRNA from 1 species